GAGUUUGAUCGUGGCUCAGAUUGAACGCUGGCGGCAUGCCUUACACAUGCAAGUCGAACGGCAGCACGGGAGCUUGCUCCUGGUGGCGAGUGGCGAACGGGUGAGUAAUGCAUCGGAACGUAUCCUGGAGUGGGGGAUAACGUAGCGAAAGUUACGCUAAUACCGCAUAUUCUGUGAGCAGGAAAGCGGGGGACCUUCGGGCCUCGCGCUCUUGGAGCGGCCGAUGUCGGGAUUAGCUAGUUGGUGAGGUAAAGGCUCACCAAGGCGACGAUCCGUAGCAGGUCUGAGAGGAUGAUCUGCCACACUGGAACUGAGACACGGUCCAGACUCCUACGGGAGGCAGCAGUGGGAAUUUUGGACAAUGGGGGCGAACCCUGAUCCAGCCAAUGCCGCGUGAGUGAGGAA
rnacentral:rRNA from 1 species